AAUUGUCCAAGUCCAAUUUCGGGAAAAUAUUUGGCUGCAUGGAUUGAAUGGCCACAAGCAUUUCCUUGUGUUUAUGCACAUUGGAUUCCAGAUAAGAAAUUGUUUCAAUUUCAAUCAAAGGAUAUGAUAUAGCUGCUGCAGUUGGUCCUCGAGUGAAACUGCGCUAGAAGCCGAAGUCCAACAAGCGAAAACCAACAAGACACCGAUGAUGAAAAAUUGACGAGCCAUUUGCUGGUCGACUCUGAUAUUAGUCUCGGAUGACGUCUCUUUCCCAACUGGUUGUUGCAUCACAAAUUGGGUUCGCUAUUUAUUUAGCGGUCACCGAGAAAAUGAAGCGCUCCAUAUGUGAACCCUUCACCUCUACAAGAAAUCACUUCCUUAUGGUAGCGCCCGUUUCCCAGGUACCCAAAGUUCCAUUUACCUACAUUCUCUGUUCGUAUUGUUCUAGGGUCAUGGCACCUAACGGUGUAAGGCUCAUCACCUCGGCUAACAGGCAAUUAAACUUAAAAAUAGUGGUCGUCAAUCAUUUGUUAAUAGAUGACAUCUUGUGGUCAUGCCA